UACCUGUUCAUCAAAGAAAAUGACAAUGCUG
rnacentral:piRNA from 1 species